rnacentral:lncRNA from 1 species
AUGAGAGAUACCAUAACAGAGGGAGCCAUUAUAGGUUCGAGGAGAGAUCUGGCACUAGGGAGAUUUCCAGAGAUCUACAAGGAUGACUCCAACUGACAACCUAAGCAGUAGUGGAGAAGCUACCCUAAAUGCCCUUCCCUUAUAAUGAGACUGAUGACUACCUUAUAUGCCAUCAUAGAGCCUUCAUCCAGUAGCUGAUGGAAGCAGAGGCAGACACCCACAGCUAAACACUGAACUGAACUCUGGAACUCAGUUGCAGAGAGGGAGGAGUGAAGAGCAAAGAGGAAGUCAACCGCUUUUUCUUAAGUGUAAAUCACCUGAUGAGGAAGAACCAGAGCUAAUGUUACCCUCCACCCAACAUGGUUACUAUGUGUCAAGAACUGUGCCAAAGUAUACAGGUUUUAAUUUAAUCACAUGAGCCCUGUGA